rnacentral:pre_miRNA from 1 species
AAAGUACUCCCUCCGUCCCAAAAUUCCUGUCUUAGAUUUGUCUAGAUACGGAUGUAUCAAGUCACAUUUUAUUAUUAGAUACAUCCGUAUCUAGAAAAAUCUAAGACAAGAAAUUUGGGACAAAGGGAGUAGUUG